UGUGCUUUUGCUCAUAGAUAACACCACAGCCUGAUCCGUGUUUUAACAAAGCUGAUUCUAUCAUCAGUACUUCAAAGGACACUUCCUCUACUGAAUUGUAAUACCUGAUCCUUGCUGCUUCUCUUUCUCCUGGUUAACUCUACUUUCCUGAGAUCACCAGGAUCACAAGAAAUUUUUGCUUCACUGCGCCUGUGUGUGAACUCGGUGAAUGAAAUUUGAUAUCUGGCAAGGAUCACAACUAAGUGCUGUAUGAGCAUUGUUACAGGAAUGUGAUCCCCUAAAAGCAUGGAUUUUACAUCAUCAUCAUCAUCAUCAUCCCGUUGAUUGUCAAAUGUAUCGAGCAGUCUCAGUAUCGUCUCCAUUUGUCCUAGCCCUGAGAUUUUAGAAGUCUCUCUUUUCUCAUCCUUCCAAACGAUGCUGCAUUGGA